UUAUCUCUUUUCUGCCUAAUCCUCAUUAACCAUCUUCAUCUUCGCCGUUCUUCUCCUCUGUUCUUCAAUCUUCUUGGCGAUUCUGCAAUCGAUAUAUACAAUCAAGCUAGAUAUCAGUGUGUUGAUCUAAUUGAGCUAUAUACAUUUUAAUCAUACGGUAUUCAGCUUCUCUGAUGCUCUCCAAUCUGCGAUAUACAAAUUAAAAUAUUAAACAAUGAAGAAAGUGCUCCAAGAGAUCAUUAAAAGGAACUGUCAGUAUGACCGGUUGAUGAUGCCAAUCAGCAAUACAAGGUAUCUCGCUCAUUCCAGCACUCCUGAUUAGAAGAAGAUGGCACGGUUCUGUUAAUGACCAGAGUGCAUGAUUACUGGCUAUACUAGAUCAACAUGACAGCACGGUUGGAUAACUCAGUGGUAAAGAGCUUAUGAUCUGUCGUGCCAGGUCCUGGGUUCGAACCUGGCUCACCCCGAAAAUUUCGUAAAACAGAUACUCAUUUGUAAGGCUAGAAGUCAUAUUUGUCAAAAAAAAAAAAAAAUUCAACAUGAAGUAGCCCGCUAGACCAAAUUGAAUACUAAAAUUACUUAAACAUAUGGAUUAUGUAUCAUGUAUAAUGAUGUU